rnacentral:tRNA from 1 species
GGAGGCGUGCCCGAGUGGUUUAAGGGAGCGGUCUUGAAAACCGUCGUGCAGCAAUGCACCAGGGGUUCGAAUCCCUUCGCCUCCGCCA